UACGGAGGAUCCGAGCGUUAUCCGGAUUUAUUGGGUUUAAAGGGUGCGCAGGCGGGGGAUUAAGUCGGCGGUGAAAUUUUGCAGCUCAACUGUAAAAGUGCCUUCGAAACUGGUUUCCUUGAGUGUAGAUGAAGUAGGCGGAAUUUGUGGUGUAGCGGUGAAAUGCAUAGAUAUCACGAGGAACUCCGAUUGCGCAGGCAGCUUACUAAACCAUAACUGACGCUCAGGCACGAAGGCGUGGGGAUCAAACAGGAUUAGAUACCCCCGUAGUCCCUGA
rnacentral:rRNA from 1 species